CCAAAUGCAGGGAGGCUGCCCCCGAGGGAACAGCCCGUGCCUGGGCAGGGGCAGCAGGGCAUCACUUAAAUCCAACACCUCUGCUUUAAUCCUGUGUUGCUUCUAAGUCCCUGUAUUCGUCUGCUCAGCCUGACACAAAGAAGUGUUGAAGCCACCGACGGGAUGCUUAAACAACAGAAGUUCAUUUCCUCACAAUUCUGGCUCUAGAAGUUCAAGAUCAGUGUGUCAGCAGGAUGAUCAGCGUUGUCUGGGAGUGAUGGAAAAUCCAAAACAGCAAGGCUUAAACACAAUUAAGGCUCUCCACCUCCCCCAUAUAAAAAGGGCUGAAUGCUGCACCUUGGACUCCACUGAUAUGUUCCUGAAGAGUUAACUGCAGCCUGCAAAUUGGAGGCAACAUGAAACCCCAAACCUGGAGUUUGUGCCUCCCGUUCUGCAUGCCUGUCUGGCUCCUUUUUCCAUUAACUCAAGCCCUGCCUCUUUUGACUACAUGAUGUCUCUGCUCUGAACCUCAGGCACUUCUAUUGGCCUUGCUGGUUUGGGCUGGUCAUUCUAUGCUGCAUGGUAAAUGGAUCACCUUG